CAUGUCCACAUUACAUCAGGUGUAAACAACUUUAACAUCAACUAUUUUAUACAAUCUAACUUUCAGCCAACUCACAAUAUAUUUAAUGCCCUUCCCAUGCAGAUAAUAUACAUGUUAAUUUUAAAUUGGCUGCAGAUCUAUUAAGCAUUUGAAAUCAAACAUUAGGCAAAGGAAUUAAGACUUCAUAUUGAAAGGUUGUACGGAUGCAAAACCUAUUAGCAUAAAAUGGAAAUAGAACAUGACGUCUACAAUAUAUAUAGGCAAAAAAUUAAUACAAGGGCCAAAGGAUAACAAAGCAGAAAAGUUUCUCCAAAGAGAAGAUUUCUUUGCAAACCUAUUGCAGACCUUAAUCAGGAUUCAAAAAGAUAAUUUACUAAAUUCUGCAAAAUGAAUAUUAUAUUCAACUCAACUAAUCCAAACUCCUAUCUCGUUGUGGUUAACAAUAUGGAUCCUUGUCCUCCAUUCCAAUGGGUAAAGGAUACAGGCACACAAUUAACAAUAUUCUAUCAGAAAUAGUACAGAGAAGCCAAAUUCAUCCUCCCAACACACAUCUGAAUGCAUGCAUAAAACCAGAAGAAAGUGAGGCAGUAUUUUCUUCUAGUGUCAAAGCAAUUAAUAAUACAGUUUAUUAUCAGCAUUGAAAAAAAAUAUUUUGGCUGGAAAAAGAAUUUAGGGCCCAGGCCACUUCAUAUCACCUUCUAGAGCAAGACCAGUGUCUGGAAAGAGCUCAAAGCUUGCACAGGAAGUAAGUAGAUCUAUCCGCAGAAAACUCAAAUUUUGCUAUAACGCAGUUAGAAAUGUUAACUCUACCUAAAUAGUUUGGGCUUAGCUGGUCCCAAGCCCGGAU
rnacentral:misc_RNA from 1 species